rnacentral:rRNA from 1 species
GAUGGUUAGCAACGGUGGCAUUACAGUUAAUGGGUUGUGACUUAUAAUGAAUCUUGAACCGCUUAAAAUCGGGUUUCAGAUUGGGUCAUGAGUAUCAGUGUCCCGACGCGACGGUUGACGACAACGUUAGGGAGUCCGGAGACCUCGACGGGGGCCUCGGAAAGAGUUAUCUUUUCUGUUUAACAGCUUGCCCACCUUGGAAACGGCUCAGCCAGAGGUAGAUCCAUUGGCUGGAAGAGCACCGCACGUCUCAUGGUGUCCGGUGCGCCCCCGGCAGCCUUUGAAAAUUCGGAGGACCGAGUACCGUCCACGCUCGAUCGUACUCAUAAUCGCAUCAGGUCUUCAAGGUGAACAACCUCU